rnacentral:misc_RNA from 1 species
AAAAAACCCAAAAACCAGAAGAAGUAGAAUCAUAUCCAAGUACCCCAAUCAGAAAACAAGAAAAGCCAUUACCAAAUGUCAAAACUUAUUACAAACCAGAGCAGUGUGGUUAUAAUGAUGAUGAGCCUCUUUUUACUCCUACUGCUGGAGCUAAAUUUGUUUCGAUACCGGAAGCAAAUGAGGAACAAGAUGAUGUAGAAGAAGAAAUCGAAG